rnacentral:rRNA from 1 species
AAGAACCUUACCAAGGCUUGACAUGGUCGGGAAAGCCGUAGAAAUACGGCCCUCCUUCGGGACUCGAUCACAGGUGGUGCAUGGCUGUCGUCAGCUCGUGUCGCGAGAUGUUGGGUUAAGUCCCGCAACGAGCGCAACCCCUGUCCUAUGUUGCCAGCGAGUUAUGUCGGGGACUCAUAGGAGACUGCCGGUGACAAAUCGGAGGAAGGUGGGGAUGACGUCAAGUCAUCAUGCCUCUUAUGUCUUGGGCUACACACGUGCUACAUUGGCCGGUACAAAGGGUUGCGAUGCCGCGAGGCGGAGCGAAUCCCAAAAAGCCGGUCCCGGUUCGGAUUGGAGGCUGAAACUCGCCUCCAUGAAGGCGGAGUUGCUAGUAAUCGCGAAUCAGCAACGUCGCGGUGAAUACGUUCCCGGGCCUUGUACACACCGCCCGUCACACCACGAAAGUUGGCAAUACCCGAAGCCGGUGGGCUAACCCUUUUGGGAGGCAGCCGUCGAAGGUAGGGUUGAUGAUUGGGGUGAAGUCGUAACAAGGUAGCCGUA